rnacentral:SRP_RNA from 1 species
GCUGGGCAUGAUGGCUCAUGCCUGUAAUCCAAGCACUUCUUGGGAGGCCGAGUCAGGUGGAUCACUUGAGUCCAGGGGUUCGAGACCAGCCUGGGCAACAUAUUGAGACCCUGACUCUA